UCUAGGGAGGCUACGGGCCGGCUCCAGGCAGCCACUCUAGGCAGGCUCCAGGCAGCCACUCUAGGCAGGCUCCGGGCAGGCUCCAGGCAGCCACUCUAGGCAGGCUACGGGCCGGCUCUAGGCAGCCACUCUAAGCAGGCUACGGGCCGCCUCUGGGCAGGCUCUGUAGAGUUGUGAGUUUGAGAAGUAUCUUCCAAAGCACAUUUUGCCAAGCCAUUCUGCUUCUCAUCACCCUACUCGCUCAACCAGGAUGUACUCACAGCACUUAUGCGCUUGGAAAAGUGCAUUUAUUGUCCAACAAGAAUGUUUGAGUUUGCAAUACCCCGGCCUACCACCAGUACUCGCCAGAGGGGGACAAAGCCUCCUUGUCCAACACUAAAACCACGAACCCUGGACACUUCCAAGACAGUUUUCCGCACCACAUGCCAGGUCUCCGCAGAUCGUCGGUGGGCUCAAGGAUUGGAACUCCAGUUUUCCCUCUGCUCAGACAGGCUGAGAGGAGAGAGCUGACGGCCCAGGCCUGCUGGACGAGACGUGGCUGGAGUUCAGCGCGUGGGUGUUGUUGGCUUGUAGCGAGACGUCCAGAGAAUUCCAUUUCUCUCUCUGUUCCUCAGACGAAUAGGACCAACACAGGAAAUAGAUUCAAUCCUGGUGUGUUGCUGCCUGUUUUGAGUCGGGUCGCAGUGCUUCACAAGAUUUGUUUCCUGCUGUGGCAAAGGGGCUCAAAUAAAGACAUUGUUUUGUUGACAUUGUGGACAUCCUCAGUGUCACAUCCACCUAGCAACUUGUUGAACCUGACUGAACACAACAAUGUCCUGAGCCUCUGUGUGAUUGACAGAAGAGAAGACGCCUUUUUAGGCUAUAUUGACUGUGUUUGUGUACUGCAUAACUGGAAGCUGAAGGAGGUUCCUUUCCAAACGGACCUUUGACACAAGGGACUCUUAAAGACACUUUAAAAUCUCACAAGAUGACUGAUACUUCCUACAGAUUGUUUUAAAUCAAAAGAGAAUAGUACAACAGGUUACAACAUAUAACACAAAUAACAAUAAUAUAAUCAUAGUGUUGUGCUUCAACAGCUAUAUAAGAUGUAUGCUAUAUGUAAUACCAUAUUUCUACUGCCUCUGGUGUUGUGUCAAAUGUGACACAGAUUGUAAACAUAAUUUUUUCUCAAUCAGCUCUCGG
rnacentral:lncRNA from 1 species